GCCGACAUAUCCUCCACCUUUCCACCAUAUAAGCACACCCUCUGUACAUGGUUUUCAUCGCAAUUUCACUCUAAACGUCAUCGUCCAAUUGCAGUUUCUUCGAUGGCUUCAAAGGGACAGCGAAAGCUCACAUACGAGGGAAGUCCGUCUGGUGUUGCAAGUGGUGGACAUGCCGACAAGGUGAAGGGCGAUCGAACACGCCGUUCAUGGAGUAAACGUGAGGAGGAGGCUUUGUUGGUCGCGCUUCAUGAUCUAGUCGCCGGUGGAUGGAAAUCUGAUAAUGGCUUCCGCAAUGGUUACGCCACUAGGGUGUACCAGGUCAUGAAGCGCGAGAUCCCUGACACAGAGUUAAAGGUGAGUCCACACAUUAACUCGAAGAUCACAAUGUGGAAGCGUGAGUACGGCGCUCUGUCUACCAUACUUGAUCGCAGCGGAGUCGGGUUCAACUCGAACAACGACUACAAGAUUGAAUGCAACAAUGAGCAAUGGGCACAAAUUGUGAAGGCCGACAGCAAUGCAAAAACAAUGCGCAACAAGUCGUGGCCAUACUAGGAGGAUUGGAAGUCCAUAUUCGGGAAGGAUCGAGGCAACGGGGUGCGGGCAGAGGAUUUGACCCAGACUGAUGAGCUGCUGAACGGGAAUGACACAUCCGUGGCUGACGAGUCACAGCCAUACAUGGCUCCUUACACCGUUGACGACUUCUUCACAGAUCGAUGAGGCCCUCAACUUUGAAGCUAUAACUGAUGUGCUCCCAACGGACACCGACACCAAAAGCUUCAAGAGCCCAAGCUUUGCCAAGAAGAACAAUCGCAAGAGGAAGCCGGAGGAUGUUUUCGAGUCUAUGUUGGAUGUGAUGACGAAGAUACAUGAGGAUACUAGUGACCGCCUUCGGACUUUAUCCUCUCGCAUCGACUACGACUUCGAUUUAAGUACAAAGUGAGUCGAGAGCAAGGUGCUUGACGAUAUCCCUCUCCUAUCGCAGAAGCACAGGUUUAUGGCGCUAGACAUUCUCGUGAAUGAGCCAGAACGUUUGGACCUAUUUAUCGGUUUCUCAAUCACUGACAGCAUCAAUCCAUCCAGCCAUGGCAGGAGAAGCUCGCGACUUUAUCAAGUGAUAUACCUUGUCUCUUACUUCAUUUGAGCGACUAGGGUGUUUGUUUUUUUCUGAUUUUUUUUCAUGGGCAUUUAGUUCUUGCAAUGCGAUCAAUGGGGUUCCUGUGCUGCCACCCCCAUUUGUGUCCACAUUCCACGGCCCCAUCAACCGAACACGAAUGCCACUGCCAGCAUCAUGAGUCUCUGUGUAUGGCGUCAUCCUCCCAAUCUUCUGUCGAGUAGCCCUUCCGAACCAAGCUCAUUGGUUCGUCGACUUGUGUUUGGAGGGAAUCACAUGGUGUUUCGGCCGAGGGUGAGAAAGUUUUGUACUACAUGUCGACUUCCAACCGGGUGACGAGUUGAUGUUCGCCUAUCAAAGCGAUGGACUAUUCAUUGUCAUCCUCAUCGCGUACGGACCUCAACUAAUGUUUUUUGACGAUCAGAUUGUCGCAAAUGUAGAAGUCGAAGGAAUCGACGCCCUUGCGUACAUGCAACAACUCUUUGCACAGAAGGAUGCAGCCGCAGCUGCGAUGGCAGCGGCCGCCAACAUGCCCCACCCUGCAGCCGAGGUCUUUGACAUAGUGGAAGAUGCAGAGGUAAUGGUAGAUGGCGACGAACCUCAAACGGCAGAAGAAGGCGAUGGCCAGCCCCUGAUAGAGGUCGAUGCACACAAUUUGCCACCGGUUGAAGAAAUUGAAGUUGCUGCAGAAUUGCACAUCCCAAUCCUCGACACACAUGUCGGUGAGACACAUAUCGGUCGAGAGCUCCAGUGUUGGCCUUAACCUCAGGACAUUAAUAAACUUUUCGCGGAAUGGGAUGCUGCCGCAGCAGAGGUUGCCGCCGCGACCCAUGCCGUUUUACCCGAAGGGCCAGUCGAAGUCAACAACGGCGAGGGUAAUGCUGCAGCAGUUGAGGCUGUUGAACAGCCCCAUGUUGAGCUGGUGGAUCCCGCACCACCGGCGGAGGAACUCCCUGGCGCAGAUGACGACAUGCCACCUCCCGUGGUAGAGACAGAAGUUGGCCAAGGCUCCGCCCCAGCCCCGGACCUCGAUUUGAAGUUAGGUGCUACAUCGUGGAAAAGGGUGACGUAUUCGAAGACCGUCGGUCCAAUGUUCAUAAAGAAAAUUGAACGUACCCCCCUGUCCUUGGCCCUCUCAAUCCCAAAAUCCUUUUGGGAAACAUACAUUCGCAAGCCCCCGGGUGCUUACGAAUUCACUUUCCAGAUGGGUCGCAAUUCUUGGGAUGUGGUUAUCAAAGUCAACAAGUCGCGGGUUCGGGUGACAAACGGUUUCUCCGCCUUUGUGAAAGCAAAUGACAUUGGGGUUGGGACUAUCCUAAAGUUCGAGUUGGUUAAGGCCCGUAGGACUGUUUUCAUCGUGAGUGUGCAGACUUAAGGACGGACCUUCUCGUCAUGCAGCCUUGAUUGUCCACAAAGGCGGGGCAUCAUGCGUGUAGGGGGAUCGGGGGGUUUGUUGUUUGUUCAUGUGUUUGCAUCUUGUUUGUGCAUGGUUAAUUUGUGUAGCUAAGUUGUGUAUGGGUAUUGUCUAAGAGGUAGUAGAUGGAUAUGUUAGUGGCUUCAAAAUAUGCACAUUUGUAUGGUCGUUGUUCCCGCCAGUGUAUGUGUUAAUCGUG